UACGUAGGGUGCGAGCGUUAAUCGGAUUUACUGGGCGUAAAGCGUGCGCAGGCGGCCCGUUAAGACAGGUGUGAAAUCCCUGGGCUCAACCUAGGAAUUGCGCUUGUGACUGGCGGGCUCGAGUACGGUAGAGGGGGGUGGAAUUCCUGGUGUAGCAGUGAAAUGCGUAGAGAUCAGGAGGAACACCGAUGGCGAAGGCAGCCCCCUGGGCCUGUACUGACGCUCAUGCACGAAAGUGUGGGGAGCAAACAGG
rnacentral:rRNA from 1 species